UUGUUCUCGGUGUGAGACCCACUAUUGCUGGUGUCAGCAUUAAUCCAUCUAGCAAAAGUGGGAAGGACUAAAUACCAUUUUGGUCCCAUCAAAAGUCCAUUGGUACGAUAGAGAUUCCGAUUAUAAAUUCCUAUUGCUUGCCCAAGUUUACAGGUUUCUCUCUUUCCCUCCCCCCCUACCUUCCUUUCUCCCUCCCUUCCUUCCUUGUUAACUGAUUCUGCUACUGACAGCACAUAAAAUCAGCCCUCAGCUACCAGAGUAGGAGAGAACUAUAGGCUUUAUGAUUUCUGUUAUUCAUUUGUAGAGAUAAUGUAUAACCCGCAUUCCCUAAUAUGAUGGUUGUAGCCCUAAAUGACAAUACACAAUUAUUUAUGAUAUCUCUUCAAAAAAAAUAAAGCAGGGCAAGAAAAAAGGAACAUUGCACAGUCCAGAUCUUAUUGUCCCAGUUUCUCUGGAUAUUGUAGGGAAUUUAAGUCAAGUGGGAUCAUGCUGCUUAUUGCAAUAUGGGCUAUUUGUUCUGCCUCAGACUUUGGAUGCCACCAUUACUGACACAUUUUUCAGAACAACUAAACACCUAAAAACCAGAAAUAUUAAUAACUCAUUCAGAAAAGCAGUGAUCAGCUUUUUUAUCAUAACAGGAAAUGCUGCAAAGGAACUGGAUUUUGCAGAGUAAUACUGUUCUUUGCCUGUAACAUCUUUUAUACAUUAUGCUCCUUUCUCGUAAACUGACACUGUCAUUUUCUUUAUUUAAACCCGUUUAUUAACUAGAUGCUCAACACUGCUUCUUGCAUCUGGUAACAAAGAUGUAUUGGAUAAAGCCAUUCAUUCACCAACGUUGAGACCCCACUAUCUCCUCAUAUUAUCCUUAUGCAAAACAUGGACAAACGAGGUCUAGUUGAAUGAUUAUCUUAAAUGAUGCCCAUCCAAGAGGUCCCUGGCAGAAGACUGCAUUUUUUUUCUUCAGUUCUGCCUGUUCAACACUGAAAUCAACACAUUGGAGAAAUUACUUGAAAGGCAUACUUUUUCGAGGGAGCCGGAGGGAGAGGUUCAGGAGGGGAAGGAAAGAGAGCAGAGUAAGUAGGAGGAAGUUACUCGUCUAAAGAGGCAUUUUAGGAUGUUUACACUGAAGGCACCUACAUCUUUACCUCCUUUUGUGUAGCGAAAUGAAGGCCAGCCAUGAUCAGCAAGGCUGGAGAACAGAGUCAUUAAAAAGACGGAGUCAUUAGCUGCUGAUGGUGCUGGUCCUGUCCUCCCAUACGGCACAAAGAGGAACGGUCAUGAUAAUGCCAACCUGGGGAUGGUGAAGACAAGUGACGGGAAGACAGCAGACCCAACACCUGGCGGAUCUCAUUCCACGCGCAGGCUGAAGGUGAAGGGGCAAUGGAACAGAGUGGUUUUAAGUCCAUAAAAGGAUUACUGACAGGGGCACCUGGGUGGCUCAGUUGGUUGAACAUCUGACUCUUGACUUCAGCUCAAGUUACAAU